rnacentral:rRNA from 1 species
AAACCAACCGGGAUUGCCUUAGUAACGGCGAGUGAAGCGGCAAAAAGCUCAAAUUUGAAAUCUGGUACCUUCGGUGCCCGAGUUGUAAUUUGGAGAGGGCAACUUUGGGGCCGUUCCUUGUCUAUGUUCCUUGGAACAGGACGUCAUAGAGGGUGAGAAUCCCGUGUGGCGAGGAGUGCGGUUCUUUGUAAAGUGCCUUCGAAGAGUCGAGUUGUUUGGGAAUGCAGCUCUAAGUGGGUGGUAAAUUCCAUCUAAAGCUAAAUAUUGGCGAGAGACCGAUAGCGAACAAGUACAGUGAUGGAAAGAUGAAAAGAACUUUGAAAAGAGAGUGAAAAAGUACGUGAAAUUGUUGAAAAGGAAGGGCAUUUGAUCAGACAUGGUGUUUUGUGCCCUCUGCUCCUUGUGGGUAGGGGAAUCUCGCAUUUCACUGGGCCAGCAUCAGUUUUGGUGGCAGGAUAAAUCCAUAGGAAUGUAGCUUGCCUCGGUAAGUAUUAUAGCCUGUGGGAAUACUGCC